AUUGAACGCUGGCGGCAUGCUUUACAUAUGCAAGUCGAACGGUAACAGGCCUUCGGGUGCUGACGAGUGGCGAACGGGUGAGUAAUGCAUCGGAACGUGCCCAGAGGUGGGGGAUAACGCAGCGAAAGCUGUGCUAAUACCGCAUAUGAUCUGAGGAUGAAAGCGGGGGACCAAGCAGCAAUGUUUGGCCUCGCGCCUCUGGAGCGGCCGAUGUCAGAUUAGGUAGUUGGUGGGGUAAAGGCCUACCAAGCCGACGAUCUGUAGCUGGUCUGAGAGGACGACCAGCCACACUGGGACUGAGACACGGCCCAGACUCCUACGGGAGGCAGCAGUGGGGAAUUUUGGACAAUGGGCGCAAGCCUGAUCCAGCAAUGCCGCGUGCGGGAAGAAGGCCUUCGGGUUGUAAACCGCUUUUGUACGGAACGAAAAGGCUCUGGCUAAUACCUGGGGCUGAUGACGGUACCGUAAGAAUAAGCACCGGCUAACUACGUG
rnacentral:rRNA from 1 species